ACACCAUUGGAUCCUCCUGGAUCCAACAGCAGCCCUCACCCCUUGCCGCCCCAUCAACCGCACCUCAGCCGAAACCCUAGCAUUGUCUUUUGGACCCAGCCGCCGGCGAUCUCCUCCUCCCCCCCAGCGACGCUGCCCCCACCUUCAAUUCCUCUCCCAAGGGAAGGGAAGGGAAGGCCGACCAGGGAGAUCGUUCGCGCGCCCAUAUCCACGCCGCCGUCGUUGACCUGAUCCGUGUCCGUCCUCGAGGGAGGUCGGCCAUGGUGGUCCGUGCUCGUCCCGCCUUCCACCCCGUUCCUCCCAUUCGCGGUCCACACCACCGCGGGAGUCAGCGAGCAUCAUGCCCUGCCCGCCAUGCACGACCGACCGUCGCCGCCGGAGACUCUCCAACCUAAGAAGCUGCAAUGACGGAGAUCACACGCUCCUUCGACCAGGCGUGGUCAGCCUCCGUCUCCGGCCACUAUGGCCUCGCCCCGACCUCGCCCGCUGCUCCUUCGACCACACGCUCCGCAGCGAGAUGAGCUCCCCCGUCCUCUCUGCUCGAUCCGCCCCAGAUCCUUAGUCUGGGUACAUGUGCACUUGAUAGGUUAUUUCUGGGUACAUGGCCGGAGAGUCUGACUUAGCUCUCUCAUUCUCGACUGCUCUGGUCUGUGGAUCUCGACCGUUCCGCUCUUUUUUUGACUGUCGCAAGCUGAGCUGAAUCUUGUUGGGUUGAGCCGAGCAAGGUCACCGUCGGUUGUGACUUGUUGGAGUCUUCUCCUGGUAGCAACAGCAGGCUUUGGCUUGAAGGCCCCAACAACCACUGGUCGGUCAGCCGCUCAGAUUUAGAGAUCUACUUCAGUUAACAUGUAAUGUACUAGCGUAGACGUGUAGGAGCAGCCUUUGUGAACCUGGGUUGUGGCUUGGAUGGCAGGAGAAUAUGAUGUUCAGUUUUGUAUGAAACAAAUCAGGUCUUGGUUCAGUUUUGUAUGUGCCGAUUUGAUUAAACCUUGACUGAAACCAAAGCAUGAUGUUUUGAUUAAACGUUUACAUGAGUUGUUAUUCUAUUCAAGUGGGUGAA